GCCUGCUCUCAAUGUUUACUUCACUGCUGACCAGCCUCUCAACAACAAAUACUGCUGAAAAAGGAAAUCCUAUGGACAAAUAAGAGACAGUUGUAAAAUCAAAUGUAUCGCACUGAGUUCGUGGAUGGCUCACAAAGGGACAUUCAAACAUUUAGGAGAGUGAUGUAAUGGCUGAGACUACAUUAAACCAGUUUAAUAUAACAUGCUGUUGGUGUAACCUGGCCUAUUGUGUAAAGGGAUAUAAUGCGAAAAACAAAGCACAGCAUUUACACAAAGUAAAAUGAAUCUGCAGUUGUUGUUAUAGUAGUUUUCGGGUGUUGCCUGAUUUCAUUUAGUUGCCUACUAAUCAACAGCAGAAAGGAACAGAGGAACAUGAAGGUCAUUCAUUUAGCGUUGUGUUUCUGACCACCCGAUGAAUUUACAUCCAACAUUGACUUUCUUUUUAUGUCUAUGUUUAUAUUUCCCUCGAUAAUUGUCGAAAUGUUCCCGCUAUGUUCACCAGUGGAUGGUUGGUGCUGAACGGGUAGCGUAGUCUUUUCCAAUGAAAACAGCUGCAACAGGAGAACAACCGCUGGAACUAGACAAGUCGAAUAUUAUCAUUUGAUGAUUCUUUUUUGUUAUCUACCUACAUAACAACAAUGUCCAGCUAGAGCUGUCCAAUGGAUUUGUUUCAUCUUGUGAAAAAACGUGCGCUGGGCCUCAAGGCCUCUGUCAAGGUCGAGGCCCUGAGCGAAAUGAGCUCGGGGCCGUCGCCAAGCCGAUAGAUCAUCAACUAACACGAGUGAAACAGGCACGUGAGCUGUUACGUAUUAGCAUUCACAGCUUGUGCAAAACACUAACAAAAGACUCAAAGCCUCAGCUGCCAAACCGUCUUACUUCUGCAGGUGUGGAAGAGAAGGUUGUGAACAAAAUGUGCUCAGGGAGACGAAUGAAAGCAGGAGGGCAGGAGAUUCGGGGUAAGAGGGGAGAUUGGAUAAUGAGGCGAGCGGAGAACAAGGUGAAGUCUGAGGAUAUCUUAAUCUUCAUCCCAAUUUUCUAUGAUGAAUUGCCUUUGGCUGCAGCAGUGCCAGGUCAAGAGGACGUUUCCAGCCAACAGCAAUGCAGCCACAUCCAUCACACCGGGAGAGACAGGCGGCCGAGAUCCAUCACUCACUCUUGCCGUUCUGGAGACUGCGGUUGUAGCCCACGGGGCUGAAGAACUCGAAGA